rnacentral:misc_RNA from 1 species
UGCGUUAGGCUGGUGUGUUGC